rnacentral:rRNA from 1 species
UACGUAGGUCCCGAGCGUUGUCCGGAUUUAUUGGGCGUAAAGCGAGCGCAGGUGGUUUAUUAAGUCUGGUGUAAAAGGCAGUGGCUCAACCAUUGUAUGCAUUGGAAACUGGUAGACUUGAGUGCAGGAGAGGAGAGUGGAACUCCAUGUGUAGCGGUGAAAUGCGUAGAUAUAUGGAGGAACACCGGUGGCGAAAGCGGCUCUCUGGCCUGUAACUGUCACUGAGGCUCGAAAGCGUGGGGAGCAAACAGG